CCUACGGGAGGCAGCAGUGGGGAAUAUUGCACAAUGGGGGGAACCCUGACCCAGCAACGCCGCGUGAAGGAAGAAGGCUUUCGGGUUGUAAACUUCUUUUCUCAGGGACGAAGAAAGUGACAGUACCUGAGGAAUAAGCCACGGCUAACUACGUGCCAGCAGCCGCGGUAAUACGGAGGUGGCAAGCGUUCUCCGGAUUUAUUGGGUGUAAAGGGCGUGUAGGCGGGAGCGCAAGUCAGAUGUGAAAACUCCGGGCUCAACCCUGAGCCUGCAUUUGAAAAUGUGUUUCUUGAGUGCUGGAGAGGCAAUCGGAAUUCCGUGUGUAGCGGUGAAAUGCGUAGAUAUACGGAGGAACACCAGUGGCGAAGGCGGAUUGCUGGACAGUAACUGACGCUGAGGCGCGAAAGCGUGGGGAGCAAACAGGAUUAGAUACCCCUGUAGUC
rnacentral:rRNA from 1 species